rnacentral:tRNA from 1 species
GCCGGUUUAGCUCAGCUGGUAGAGCAUCUGAUUUGUAAUCAGAGGGUCGGGGGUUCAAGUCCCUUAGCCGGCACCA